rnacentral:rRNA from 1 species
UACGUAGGGCGCAAGCGUUGUCCGGAAUUAUUGGGCGUAAAGAGCUCGUAGGCGGCUUGUCACGUCUGCUGUGAAAUCCCGGGGCUCAACCCCGGGCGUGCAGUGGAUACGGGCUGGCUAGAGGCAGGCAGGGGAGAACGGAAUUCCCGGUGUAGCGGUGAAAUGCGCAGAUAUCGGGAAGAACACCUAUGGCGAAGGCAGCUCUCUGGGACGGUACUGACGCUGAGACGCGAAAGCGUGGGGAGCAAACAGG